AUUAAUUGAAAGAGGCAAUUGCAUCCCUACCAGAUGGACCUGCGUUGUAUAGCUAGUUGGUGAGGUAACCGCUCACCAAGGCGACGAUACAUAGCCGACCUGAGAGGGUGAUCGGCCACACUGGGACUGAGACACGGCCCAGACUCCUACGGGAGGCAGCAGUAGGGAAUCUUCGGCAAUGGGGGGAACCCUGACCGAGCAACGCCGCGUGAGUGAAGAAGGUUUUCGGAUCGUAAAGCUCUGUUGUAAGAGAAGAACGGGUGUGAGAGUGGAAAGUUCACACUGUGACGUAUCUACCAGAAAGGCCG
rnacentral:rRNA from 1 species